rnacentral:ncRNA from 16 species
ACAUGAGACGCCUCAGAUGGUGCUUCUUUAACCGGAAGCUAAGAGGGAAGCCGGUGUGAAUCCGGUGCUGUACCCGCAACUGUCAGCCAGGAGCUGAUGGCCAACAUGCCACUGGAGCGAAAGUUCUGGGAAGGCGGCCUGAAGUGAUGAUCGGCAAGCCAGGAAACCUGCCAUCGCGUCGUUCGUCCGG